AUUGGACGCUGGCGGCAGGCCUAACACAUGCAAGUCGAGCGGAUGAAGGGAGCUUGCUCCUGGAUUCAGCGGCGGACGGGUGAGUAAUGCCUAGGAAUCUGCCUGGUAGUGGGGGAUAACGUCCGGAAACGGGCGCUAAUACCGCAUACGUCCUGAGGGAGAAAGUGGGGGAUCUUCGGACCUCACGCUAUCAGAUGAGCCUAGGUCGGAUUAGCUAGUUGGUGGGGUAAAGGCCUACCAGGGCGACGAUCCGUAACUGGUCUGAGAGGAUGAUCAGUCACACUGGAACUGAGACACGGUCCAGACUCCUACGGGAGGCAGCAGUGGGGAAUAUUGGACAAUGGGCGAAAGCCUGAUCCAGCCAUGCCGCGUGUGUGAAGAAGGUCUUCGGAUUGUAAAGCACUCUAAGUUGGGAGGAAGGGCAGUAAGUUAAUACCUUGCUGUUUUGACGUUACCAACAGAAUAAGCACCGGCUAACUUCGUG
rnacentral:rRNA from 1 species